rnacentral:rRNA from 2 species
UUACCAUGCAGUCGAACGAUGAUCUCCAGCUUGCUGGGGGGAUUAGUGGCGAACGGGUGAGUAACACGUGAGUAACCUGCCCUUGACUCUGGGAUAAGCCUGGGAAACUGGGUCUAAUACCGGAUAUGACCGGCCGCCGCAUGGUGUGUUGGUGGAAAGCUUUUGCGGUUUUGGAUGGACUCGCGGCCUAUCAGCUUGUUGGUGGGGUAAUGGCCUACCAAGGCGACGACGGGUAGCCGGCCUGAGAGGGUGACCGGCCACACUGGGACUGAGACACGGCCCAGACUCCUACGGGAGGCAGCAGUGGGGAAUAUUGCACAAUGGGCGAAAGCCUGAUGCAGCGACGCCGCGUGAGGGAUGACGGCCUUCGGGUUGUAAACCUCUUUCAGUAGGGAAGAAGCUUUCGGGUGACGGUACCUGCAGAAGAAGCGCCGGCUAACUACGUGCCAGCAGCCGCGGUAAUACGUAGGGCGCAAGCGUUAUCCGGAAUUAUUGGGCGUAAAGAGCUCGUAGGCGGUUUGUCGCGUCUGCUGUGAAAGACCGGGGCUCAACUCCGGUUCUGCAGUGGGUACGGGCAGACUAGAGUGAUGUAGGGGAGACUGGAAUUCCUGGUGUAGCGGUGAAAUGCGCAGAUAUCAGGAGGAACACCGAUGGCGAAGGCAGGUCUCUGGGCAUUAACUGACGCUGAGGAGCGAAAGCAUGGGGAGCGAACAGGAUUAGAUACCCUGGUAGUCCAUGCCGUAAACGUUGGGCACUAGGUGUGGGGGACAUUCCACGUUUUCCGCGCCGUAGCUAACGCAUUAAGUGCCCCGCCUGGGGAGUACGGCCGCAAGGCUAAAACUCAGAAG